rnacentral:rRNA from 1 species
UACGGAGGGCGCAAGCGUUGUUCGGAAUCACUGGGCGUAAAGCGCGUGUAGGCGGCUUGGUAAGUCGGGUGUGAAAGCCCGGGGCCUAACCCCGGAACUGCACUCGAAACUGCCUCGCUCGAGUCCCGGAGAGGAUGGUGGAAUUCCCGGUGUAGUGGUGAAAUACGUAGAUAUCGGGAGGAACACCAGCGGCGAAGGCGGCCAUCUGGACGGUGACUGACGCUGAGAAGCGAAAGCGUGGGGAGCAAACAGG